rnacentral:lncRNA from 1 species
CUUUGAUGGCACUGAUCCGAGUUCCUGAAGCUGCAACUGGGACACAGAGAAGCCACAGAAGAACACGGAGUAUUUUUCUUGAACACAAAGAAGGACCUGGAGUCAGAUUAAACAAAGAUUCCCUGCUACUGAAGCAGGCACUGAUCAAGAACUCCUUGUAAUGAAGAUCUGAGGAUCAUCCUAGGGAGGAAUGGAAGAAGGAGGGAAGGAAAGAGAUCUGAAGAGAUGGCUCACUGGUUAGGAGCCACCUAAGUGGCUAUUCUUGAAGAGGAUCAGGGUUCUAUUCCCAGUACCCAGAAGCAGCUCACAGCCAUUUGUGACUACAAUUCCAAGGGAUGUAAUUAUUUCUGACAUCCACGGGUAGGGCAUGCAUGUAAUGCACACACAUACACCCAUGUAAAACAUGAAUACACU